rnacentral:lncRNA from 1 species
UUGACUGGUUACGCUUUACUAGGGUAGUGGGCCACGUGGAAGUUCUUCUGAGAAAAGGGUACAGGGAAUACUAUUCAUUUUCUUGGAAGUUGAAACUCAUGAUGACAUAUAACUGCGCGCACGUUCUGAUGAGACGUUUUGAAAAAGUUAAUCAUGAUUAACUGACAAACAUGGACUUUUAGGACUAUGAAAGGUCUCUGGUCGAAAUCUGGUAAAUGCAAAAAAUGUCCAUUACUACAGUAAUUUGAAAUAGACAUUUCUU